rnacentral:rRNA from 1 species
UACGAGGGGUGCAAGCGUUGCUCGGAAUUAUUGGGCGUAAAGGGUAGGUAGGUGGUCUCAUUUGUCAGGGGUGAAAGCCUUGGGCUUAACUCAAGAAGUGCCCCUGAAACGGUGAGACUAGAGUCCUGGAGAGGGUCGUGGAAUUCCCGGUGUAGCGGUGAAAUGCGUAGAGAUCGGGAGGAACACCAGAGGCGAAGGCGGCGACCUGGACAGGCACUGACACUCAACUACGAAAGCGUGGGGAGCAAACAGG